rnacentral:lncRNA from 1 species
AAGAGAGAGAAAUGAGGCAGUAAGGUGUCAAACUCAGGACAUGAGGUUUGGGAGGCGUGAUCCGGAACCACUCCCCCAUGGUCCUUCAUUUGUUAAGGCAAAGAAAAGAGAAAUAUAUAUAAAAGAAACAUUGAAAAUGGAGAAGAAAAUAAAAUAAGAAAAUAAACAAGGGAAAGGGGGUGCGCAAGGAUAAAAAAUGGGUCAUGGUGGUUGAUAGACCAAAGUCUUACCACUCCACCAUGAACCUCUUUCUGUCAACAUAAUGCAUCAAUAAAUAUAUAAUAUAAAAAACAUGUAAAAUGGAAAAAAGAAAAAAAGAAAAAAAGAAAGUCAAGUAGCAACAUGCUUUUGUAUGAACAAAAUACUGUUCAUCUUCUGCCUCAUGACAACCAAACAACAAUACCAAACAAUAACAUGUAAGCAAAACAAAACAAACUUGGUGCUAUGGAAACAAAUAAAACUCACAUUCUAAAUAAAAAACAAA